rnacentral:rRNA from 1 species
UACGGAGGAUGCGAGCGUUAUCCGGAUUUAUUGGGUUUAAAGGGUGCGUAGGCGGACGCUUAAGUCAGCGGUAAAAUUGCGGGGCUCAACCUUGUCGAGCCGUUGAAACUGGGUGCCUUGAGUGGGCGAGAAGUACGCGGAAUGCGUGGUGUAGCGGUGAAAUGCAUAGAUAUCACGCAGAACUCCGAUUGCGAAGGCAGCGUACCGGCGCCCAACUGACGCUGAAGCACGAAGGCGUGGGUAUCGAACAGG